GGCCCAGUGGUGUAGUGGUAACAUGUCCUUUUGAUGUAAAAGUGAAGGGUCUCAACUUUCAGAGGAAGCACCCCGUUCAAUUCGGGGCUGGGCCA